rnacentral:piRNA from 1 species
UGACUGCCAAGGCUAAAGACCCACAC